rnacentral:rRNA from 1 species
GGCGGCAGGCUUUAACACAUGCAAGUCGAACGCCCCGCAAGGGGAGUGGCAGACGGGUGAGUAACGCGUGGGAAUCUACCUAGUUCUACGGAACAACAGAGGGAAACUUCUGCUUAAUACCGUAUACGCCCUAAGGGGGAAAGAUUUAUCGGAAUUACAUGAGCCCGCGUAAGAUUAGCUAGUUGGUGGGGUAAUGGCCUACCAAGGCGACGAUCUUUGCUGGUCUGAGAGGAUGAUCAGCCACACUGGGACUGAGACACGGCCCAGACUCCUACGGGAGGCAGCAGUGGGGAAUAUUGGACAAUGGGCGCAAGCCUGAUCCAGCCAUGCCGCGUGAGUGAUGAAGGCCUUAGGGUUGUAAAGCUCUUUCAGUGGGGACGAUAAGA